UACGAAGGGGGCUAGCGUUGCUCGGAAUCACUGGGCGUAAAGCGCACGUAGGCGGCUUUUUAAGUCAGGGGUGAAAUCCUGGAGCUCAACUCCAGAACUGCCUUUGAUACUGGAAAGCUUGAGUCCGGAAGAGGUGAGUGGAACUCCGAGUGUAGAGGUGAAAUUCGUAGAUAUUAGGAAGAACACCAGUGGCGAAGGCGGCUCACUGGCUCGGUACUGACGCUGAGGCGCGAAAGCGUGGGGAGCAAACAGG
rnacentral:rRNA from 1 species